rnacentral:lncRNA from 1 species
CCUUUUAAAAUUGAUGUUUAUUUAAUUUAAUUUCUCCUUGGUCACCUUUGAAAUACUUUUAGCAGGGAUCUGAUUAAUGUCCAAUAUGUCCUUGCCCCCUCUUCUCUAUUGCUCUUGCUCUUCAUGGCUAUUUACCCUGCAAAUGGCUGUUGACUUCUAGAUGUGGCCCUCAAUGCCUGGAAAUAAUUAAGUAUAAAUUGAAGCCAUUUUGCCCUUGCAGGUAUAGUGAGUAUAGAGCCUGAGUGGGAAGGAGUUAGAAACUGGUGAAUAAUAUAAAGGCCUGGACAAACCACAAUGGGUGGCUUGAAGAUUAAAAAAGAAGAAAAGUGUUGAGCGCAGUACUUGAAGGACAAAUUUUCACACCCAUCUCCUCUUCAGAGCCAGGCAGAUGUUUUGGUAUGGUUAGCAAUUUUGCCUCAUAAGAAUAAUUUGUUCCCUGAAUAUGGGAACUACUAUUUAGGAUACAGGAGGCACAAAUUAAGCAGACCAUAUAAUCAUGUGCAGUAUGUUUAUCAGGUGGUAGAGCAGAGGUUUACCUCAUUCUUAGCAGGAGAAUCUGCAUAGAGAUGUCAUCAUCAAUUUUCUCCUGAUUGUUGAUAGAUGGCAUGAACAGUUGUAGCAGAGACUGACUCUCUUUCAGUGAUGUAUGUUUUGAUGUAAUUUAAAUGCCAUCGAGUUUGUAUAAUUUUAUCUGGAUCUAAUGUUAGAGCUCAGAUUGAUUGUCAGAUCUCCUUUUAUGCUCAGAAUUAAUUUUAUGCUCAGGCUGACAGCUGGGACUUGAUGAAAGUGUUAUACUUACUAUACUCUGGUCUUGGUAGAACUGUUUCCUGAUCAUUCAUAUCUGUUGGAACUGUGUCCAAGUGAUGGAGUCUGAUUUUCAGGACUGAGUAGAAGAGUGACUGGAAGAUCAGGACUAAACAGAGGUAUGACCUCUUGAUCUGUAGUCACUGACUUUUUUGCUGAGGGAGGGAGGUAUUAGUUUGGGAGUAUGGAAUAGCUUUUGACUUUUGGUUGGGACUACUUGGGAAUUGUAAUCUGACAGCUGGAAUUAGGGAGACUUGUAUCCUCAGGGUCAAUGCACAAGGGAAUUGGGAAGUGGGAAUGUCUGUUGCCAGUAGUAUAGUUUCUUAGUGGCCUAAUUAUGGUGGAACCUAGACCCCUUAGGCAUUGAUUGGACUUUCACUGUCUUUUAACCAAUAUCUAGGGCAGUUGAUACUCAGUGGCUAAGUCAAGGUGGAAUUUUACCUGGUUGUCUAAAUCCACUAAAUGUGUUUUUUCAUGAUCCUGGAUAAUAAGAGUUAUACCUUCAUAGGUAUAUGAACUGCUUUUAAGUGGAUUUGUAUAUGAAAUGAGAUUUGGGCAUUGCUGCCUGAUGCAUCCAUAGUCUAAUGGUCAGGCAUGGUGGAAUUAGAGUCUGGUUCAGGUAGAACUGUGUUCUUGGGGUCUAAAUUGAGGAGAAAUAUUGUUUCAGACACCUGAUCUAUAAGGACUAUGGUCGGAUUAUCUGUUCUUGGCCAGUGCUUUGUUUUCUUUGAAAUAUGAUCUUGGCAUUGGAAUUUGAUUUUGCAUCCUUAGAGUUGUGUAGAAGUAUGUCAUGAUUUUGGGGGUCAGUCAAGGUUUGGCAUUCUUAUGUCAAUGCUCAGUAUAGUUGUUGCCUUAUAGUUUUGUGUUGUUGAAAUCCUGGGCUGGUGGCAUUGUUUCCCAGUGGUCUAUUCAAUUUAACUAAGAAAAGCUGGCCUAAUGACAGACUAAAUGAUCAGUGAAGUAGCUGCCCAAUGGAUAGAGUUAGAUGGAUUUGUGUCCUUGUGGUUUAAAGAUAGUGAAGGUGUUGCUUCCUGCUGAUGAACUGUGAAACUUAUUAUUGCCAUGUGAUCUGUUUCAGGGGGCAUCAAUUCCCAUUGUCCUUUUUCUGGUUGUAUUGUAACUAAAGUAUUGGGGCCUGGUACAUCAGUAUCCUCAGUGUCAUGGAUGGAUAGAAUGAAAUCUUGCUUGUCAGAGCCAGGGAGAUUUGUGUCCUGGUGAUUUUUGCCCAGUAGAAAUAUUGCUUCCUGAUCAUGGGUUGUGAGAAUUAGGGUCUUGCGUUCUAUUUCCUGUGGCAUUGUUUCCCAUGAAUCUUUUUUUGUUUGAAAUAUACUCUGGACAUUGGGAUCUGUUGUGUCUUCAGUUUGAUGGUCAGGGCUGGUUGUACAUGAUACUUGGUGGUCAGGAUCAGGUUGUAUCAUAUUGUGAUGUUCUAUGUUCAGUAAAGGAAAUGCAGUCCAGUAAUCCUUGUUUGUUGGAGUCAUGGCCCGAUAGUCUAAUGUUCUUGUCCAAAAUAUAUCUAAAUCUUCUUGUUCUUUUUGAAUUAUGUCAGCUUUAGGGCCUGGGACAUGUUGGAUCUGAUAGUCAUUGUUGAGUGAAGCUGUGUCCUGAUGGUCUAGUCUUGUCCAAAAUAUAUCCCAGUCAUCUUGAUCUUGUUGGAGUGUAAUCUUGGUAUUUGGCUUGGAUAUAUCCCCAACUGGGUAGUCAUUGCUGGAUGGAGGUAUGAUUUUGUGCUCAGGAUCAGAUAGAACCACAUUCUGGGACUCUAUUAUGCUCACUGAAGGUAUUGUCCUGGAGUGUUGAAUUGUGAGAUCAACUCUUAACUCUUGAUCUAGUAUUGAUGGCAUUAUUUCCCAUUGGUCUAGUUUUGGUUGGGGUAUAGCCUCAGCAUUGAGAUCUGGUACAUCCCCAUCCUUCCUUUCAUGGCUAGAUGAUGUUGAGGUUGUAUGGUCAGUAUCAGGUGAAGUUCUGUCUUGCUGUUUUAUAUCCCAUGGGGAGAUUUCCCAGGAAGCCUGGUCUGGUAGAGUUGUGCCCUCCUGAUCCAGUUCUGUUGGCCAAAGUUUUUCCCAUUCAUUUAUAUCUAAUUGGAGUGUUUCCUGAGCACUGAAGUCUGACAGAUCUGAAUCCUGAUAAUCAUGGUUGGAUGAAGGUGUAGCCUCAAGGUGAUUAUCAGGUGAAUUUCUACCUGGGUAUUUUAUGCCCCAUGAGGAUGUUGCCCAGGAAACCUCAUCUUUUAGAAUUCUGGCCUGCUGAUCUAGUUCUGUGGGACAAGAUGUUUUCCAUUUAUCUAAUUCUUCUUGGAGUAUGGACUGAGCACUGAGGUCUGAUAUAGCUGAACUAUCAUCUUCAUGGCUGGAUGGGCUUGUAGGCUCAUGGGGCGUGGCAGGUGAAGUUCUGUCCCAUGACAAUGUUGCCCAGGAAACCUCAUCUUUUAGAGUUUUGGCCUGCUGGUCUAGCUCUGUAGGAGAAGAUGCUUUCCUUUUGCCUAGUUCUUGUUGGAGUGUGGCCUCGCCACUGAGGUAUAUGAAAUCUGAAUCCUGUUCUUCAUAGCUGGAUGGAGGUGUGAUCUCAUGAUGAAGAUCAGGUGAAGUUCUGUCCAGAAAUCAAGAAAAAGGAACAAAUCUUAUAAAAAAUAAGCAUGUCAAGAGUCAAG